UACGAAGGGGGCUAGCGUUUUUCGGAAUUACUGGGCGUAAAGCGCACGUAGGCGGCUCUGUAAGUUGGGGGUGAAAUCCCGAGGCUCAACCUCGGAAUUGCCUUCAAGACUGCAGGGCUUGAGUUCGGGGGAGGUGAGUGGAAUUCCCAGUGUAGAGGUGAAAUUCGUAGAGAUUGGGAAGAACACCAGUGGCGAAGGCGGCUCACUGGCCCGUAACUGACGCUGGGGUGCGAAAGCGUGGGGAGCAAACAGG
rnacentral:rRNA from 1 species